AGAUGCUGGACCUCAGCAUGUAAGAAAACCUGGGCCCCUCCAGAUUUACAUGGCAAGGGAUUAGGAAGUGCCGCCCCACCUGCUGGUUUGGCUGCCUGAAGUGCCGUCCCACUCAGGCUUGAUGGCUCCCUAGGAUAGACUUUGGCCUGGGCCAAAAAUGUUGUCUGGUAGAGACACAUAUUGGGCACAGUCUGUACCAGCCUACCAGGCCUCACAGCGCUUCUCUGGCUCUGGUGUUUGCCGUAUCCUGUCUGCUAGAUUGUGAGAUUCCCUAGGAUAAAUAUAGAUUAAAAGCCGACUUCCUCUGGGAAGCUAUCCAGUGCCAGGCCCUCCCCCACAACCCCGGACGUGAGCUUCUAGCUCCAAAAUCCACAGUGUAGAUUUUGACUUCUCUUGUAGUGGAAAUCGCUUUCUAAGUUGAAUUAUAACUGUUUGCACAUGCAUCUUAUCUCUUGCUCCCUUACUGGUUCAUUCUGUUCUCAUUUUAAUUUUCUGUUCCCAGUACCUGUGUGUUGUCAGUUUUUAAACCCAUUUGUUCAGUCAUCUACUCAUUCAUUCAAAAAUAUUAAUUGAACACAUAUUCAGUACCUGUUCUCAUUCAACUUGCUCAACAGUCUAAUGGGUGAGGUGGAUCAUAAUUGAGUCGUGCUGAGGGAGGUGCAUGAUGCGCUGAGGGUACAGAACGUCGGGAUAUGAGCCAAGCAGGCUAGGGAAGACUCCCCCAAGCAGAGGGAAAGAGCGAGUAGGAAAAAACUGGGCAAGCAGGGGAGAGGAGUGUGUUCCAGGAAAAAAGAAUAGCACAUGCAAAGAUCCUGCGGUAGGGGAAGCCGUGGCACUUACUGGAACACAAAAGAGCAGCAGUGUGUCAGGGCAGGGAGGGGCAGGGGGACAAGAUAGGGCUGGAGAGAAAAGAAAGGAUGAGUGAUCAAUUGUAUGACUAAUUAAAUGCAUGAUUCAAUGAAUCAAUGAGUGAAUGAGAAUAUUCCCUGCCUCUUCACUGGGAAUUAUGUAAGAGCAUUGGUUUGAAAGCCAAGAGAGUGGAGUACGAGGCACCUUUCUACCACCAGCUCCUCUAUGAUAUGGGAUUGAUCAGCCCCCUUUCUGAGCCUCAGAGUGUUCAUCUGCCAGGAUGAUAGAGAAGGGUGUGGUCGCUGCUGUGAUGUCUUUUGCUACUGUUUACUGUGGAUGCUGCUUGUAAGGUUUACUAUAGAGUUGCUGAUGGAAGCUCUAAGCUUCUACCAGAUUUCACAAAGGUGAAUGCCGCCCGAGGCUGUGCUGGUCGCAUAAAUGUAUCUAGCCAGCCCGGUGUUAAACAAUGGGGUUGAUGGGCUGCCUCACACUUGCCUUGCACAACACCCUGCCAGGUAAGGUAGCGCAUUCCGGAUUCCCAUUGGUCCGCAUGCCGCUGGUCAGGGCAUGGGUGCUCUAUGCAGUGGCAUGUCUACUAAAGAAUCAUCUGAGAAUGAACUCCUUCAGGCAAAGCAAAUAAAAAUUACAGUAAAUUAAAUGUUAGAAGUCACAAAUCAUGUGAGUAGAAGGUCUGCUACCUUUGCAUCUCAGGACGGAAUGACCUCUGUCCCUGCCUGUGAUGCGGUCUUGCCAGAGGUCCUGUCCAGACACGCGACUCUCCCUCGAGACAGCCAUGCAUUCUGCCCUUUGUCUCCAAACUUUCUGACCCUUUCAGCCAUUCACCAAACAAUUAGCAGUGCUCCUGGUGUGCUCACCCUUUGCAAAGAACGCCUGGGAGAAAAGACUUGAGCUUGGCCUUGCCCUCCAGGAGUUUUCAGUCCAGACAAGUGUCUGUCUACAAUGGAAUAUAGCAUGCCAAUGUCCUGUAGAAGUUCACUCAUUCGUUCACUCAGUCAAAGAAUAGAUGCUGACAGCCUCUCUCACGCAAGGCACUGGUUUUGCUCUGAGAGGAGCUUAUAUUUCAGCUCUUGUUUAUAUAUACAUGUAUUAUAUAAAGCAUUUGAUGGUAAGACGGGGAAAAAUCCAGCAGAGAACAAGAAUGGCAAGAGCUGAGACAGAGGCCAGGCUGGGAUUUCGAAAAGGAUGGCCCAGGUAGGGUUUAUUGAUAAGGCGACCUGAGCCAUCACAGGAAGCCAGGAAGCCUGUGGAUGUAUCUGCAUCGUGGGGAGCAAAGUGCUAUGACCUUUUGUCUAAGGAUCCGCAGGAGGCAUGAUGUCUCUUUCCUCCGCUGAUGUAGAAGGAACUAGAAUGAUGAGGGCUAAAGGUCCAGGAUGCCAGCCUGGCUUUCCUCAGACCCGUGACCCCUUGAUGUAUUUGAAUUAGGAAAGUCUCACAGCAUCUCAACCAUUUCCUAACCCCCUACCUGACUGCAUGUAGGUCUAACUGCCUGUACCAUAAAUUAAUAUAUUCCUGUGGUAGACAGACUAAAGAUCUCCCAAAGAUCUCCUCAUCCUGAACUCCAGGACCUGUGAAUAUGUUAUAUUUCGUGGCAGAAAGAACUUUGCAAGUGUGAUCAAGUUAAGGGUCUUUAUGGGGCAAUAAUCCUCCAUUAUCUAGGUGGGCCAGGUAUAAUCACAGGGUCCACAUAAGAGGGAGACAGGCGGGUCAGAGUCUGAGGAGAAGUAACGUCAGAGGCAGAGGUCAGUGCAGUGCAGGGCAACAAGCCAAGGAACUCAGGCAGCCGCUGGAAACUGGGAAAACAACGGAACUGCAGCUUCUCCCCUGCAGCUUCCAGAACAAACACUGCCCUGCCAGCACCUUGAUCUUAGCCCCAGAGACUGAUUUCCAACUUCUGACCACCAGAAUAGGGAGAUGACACAUUUGUGUUAUUUUAAGCUGCUUAAUUUGUGCUAAUUUCUUACAGUAGCAAAAAGAAAUUUAAACAAUGACCAGACUAUUUUGUUUGAUAAAAACACACAUAGCAGUUGAUAGAACUCUGGGUCUCUUUAUAGAUGACAGUUCAUCAUUGAAUCCCCAAAAGCAUCAAUGUAGGGACUAUUACUUUCUUCGUCUUAUAUAUGAGGUCAUUUAAGCACAGAGAGUUUAAGCAAUCUGGCUAAGGUCACACAGCUCUUAACAGCGUGGCCAGGAUGCAAGCCCAGUUUGUCUGGCUCCAAGGGUAAUGUGUGUCUGCUCCCACUGAUUUUCUUACAUUGACCUUUGCGAGCUCAACAGGAGCCUUUCCUUUCUCAGGUCUAGACAAUCACCUGUGCUGUCUUCACAGGGGAAUUUCUCACCCCAUAGUGCUGAUGACUUAUCCACAGAAACUUUGUGUCCUUAAAAGAAACCAAGCAUCACUAAAGCAUCAAUAAAUCAAUAUUGAAACAAAUAUUUGGUUUCCUUUUUUUUGAAGUGGAGUCUCGCUCUCCCACCCAGGCUGGAGUGCAGUGAUGCAGUCUCGGCUCACUGCAACCUCCGCCUCCCAGGUUCAAACAAUUCUCCUGCCUCAGCCUCCCACGUAGCUGGAAUUGCAGGCACACAGCACCAUACCGGGCUACUUUUCUGUAUCUUUAGUAGAGACGGCGUUUCACUGUGUUAGCCAGGAUGGUCUCAAUCUCCUGACCUUGUGGUCCACCCGCCUCAGCCUCCCAAAGCACUAGGGUUAGAGGUGUAAGAUACCAUCCCUGGUCCUCUGGUUUCCAUUUCUAGGGGAAAACACAGAAUUAAAGAGAUCAUUGAUUUUUCUUUCUUUUUUUCAAUUUUAUAAUGUAACCCAGUAUUUUUAUAGAGAUAUAGUUCCCAUAUCCUUAAAUUCACCCUUUUAAAAUGUACAAUUUAAUGGUUUUAAUAUAGUCCCAAGGUCAGGCAACCAUCACCACCAUCUAAUUUCAGAGAAUCUUCAUCACACCCCAAAAAGAUCAUCCAAUUUCAUAGAAUCUUCAUCACACCCUAAAAAGAAAUCCUGUCCCCAUUAAGUAGUAACUCCCCAUGACCCCCUCCCCCAGCCCCUGGAACUGCGAAUCUACUUUCUCUCUCUAUGAAUUUGCCUGUUCUGGCAUUCCAUAUAAAUGGAAUUCGACAGAAUGCUGCGGCCACAUGAGGUCUUUCUUCUGUCCCCAGUGAGCCUGCCUAGUUGAUAUGUGAAGGUUGCAGGUUGUGAGGUUGUGCACCACGGCAAGUCUAAUAUUCAUGAUUUCUUCCUCCAAUCUCCAUUCUGUUGUCAGUUUGCCAUGAUUUUGUGGCUCCCUGUGUGUGAGCAUUUUUGUGAGCUGCUCCAAAUCCUUUUCAGAAUCGGGCAGUACAGGAAUAAAUAAAAACACAGAUUCUCAAAUCAACCAAUCUUGAAAUCGAGUCAUACAAAAUGUGGCUUUUAUGUCUGGCUUGUUUCAUUCUGUAUCAUGUCUUUGAGGCUCUUCCAUGCAGCAGCAUUAAUCAGUACAUCGUUCCUUUUUACACCUGAGUAAUAUUCCAUCAUGGGCCAUAGCAUAAAUGCGUUUAUCCAUUCACCAUUUUGACUGUUUCCACCUCUUGGCCAUUGGGAAUAACACUUCUGUGAACAUCUGUGUGAUCUGUUUUAUUGUACCUAAUUAGAAGGGAUUCCAGGCAGGAUCCAUUGGCUUCCAGAAAGCUCUGCUAGCAUAGAGGCCUGUGAGCAAGUUGCCCUUCUUACAGUCUAAGUCUCUGCGGUGAGAUGUCGACACCCCUUUGGAAUCUACCCCGGGGUCCAGGAAAGAGCAGAGGGUUCAUGUGCAGAGACUACAUUGUUCUCUCCCGAAGGGGAAGUGGGAGAAGAUUCUCCGUCUAUGAAACAAAGGGCUUCAUGAAAUGAACAAAUUUAAACUGGCAGAGGGAACCACUCCGUGGAGCCGACUCUGAUGCUGACCUCUCGUACGUGCUUAUUCUAGAUGCUGGACCCACUGAAAUGCAUUAUGCUACAUUGACAUAUGGGGUAUACAGUUUCUAUGGACUGCACGCACUAAGCAAGACAUGUUCAGUGGAAUAUGAUAUGUAAUGAUGACUUUGUCUUCAGCAUUCACUUUGAAUAGAAUUUUAACAUACCUCCUAGGAGAGGCUGGGGACAAGUAAAAACAGUUAUGGCCAAAAGCUCCAGGAAUCCAAGGCUUUGGGUCUAUGCUUUUGUCGAAAAUUUUAAGAGCUAUGAAAAGCAUUAAAAAUAACAAUGAGAAGAAAGGACGUGUGUGAUGUGGUGACCAAGAACUCUUCCAAGUUCCUACCUGCAUCACCCCUGACUUCUCCCGGCCUCUGCAGAGGCAUGUACCCCAUGCCUUAACGUGAAGCCACGAGUCCCAGGCUGUGAUCUCACCUCCUUUGUCCAAACUCAUCCCAACGAACAUGUCACCCAGCAGCAUUUCCAGUGACAGCAACACAAUAGCGUGCCUUUCAGUAACACAUGGAAUAAAUGUUAUUUUCAUUCCAAAUGCAGUGGUGGGAAUCAGAGAAACAAUGGCCUUUUCCUGCCCGAUGAUGCAAGUUAAAAAUAUUGCCUGCUUCUUCACUGACUCCCAUCUUAGCCCUGCACGUUUAAAAAUACACCCAUCAGUGGCUCUGCAUUUGAAAAUGUAUUUUGCAUCUGAUAAUUAAGUAGCAUUUAAAGGGCAAAAUUAGAAAGCACAAAAUUAGGCUGGCAGGCUUAAUUAGCCCAUUCUUUUUUCUAAUGGGUGGAAUUCGGGCGACCGUAUACUCAAGGGGCACAAAGACCCCUAAUGGGGGUAGUAGAAAUUCACCCACAUCUGUAAACUCAGUCUCUCUGCGAGCCAGAUAAGGGGGAUUAGCUGCACAACCAGAAAUGUGAGGCACACGAAACAAGACGAUUAUACCCUCUUUUCCUCAAGAAAACGACGUGAGCACAACUAUAAUCUAUCAAGAGAUAAGAGAGGACCAUGCACGUGGCCUCCCAGAGGCCUGAUGUAAUCAUGGCGACAUCAUGAGUUUAUAUGUAAAGAGAUGAACUCUGCAGCAUGACGUGACACCUUUUUCAGGAUAAUUAUCACUGGUAUCUGCCUGCAUGUGAAAACCCAUUUCCCCCACCAGCUCUGACCUUGCUAAAUGACCACUGACAUGCCUUCCUAUGCACACUGUAACUGUCCACUCCUCCUGAGGACCGUAAGCUCUUCAUGGAGGGAUGCACUGAGCUGGCCAGGACGGGACCGGAAACUUACAAGUGCCUUCCAAGGCUGUCCAUUGUAUUCUCUGAAAUCUCAUUCCACAUCCCUGAUGAUGAUAUCACAAUGGCUGGCUGCGUGUAGCUCACCCUGUGCCCAGUUGGGUGGAUCUGUCCCCAGCCUUCAAGGAGAAAGUUCUGCCUUUUCAAGUUGCCAUGGUCCUUCACAAGCCACAACAGGCCACGGGGAGCCGAGCUGAGGCGCCUUGAUCCUAGCAGCCAGAUCUAGAAGGCUUCUGCAAGCUGAAAAAGAAGGCCUACUGUACUAUGUCCACCAGACAGAACCUAGAAAGUUCCGCCCCUGCUGCAGGCCGCAAGGAAUGUUCUGAAACAAUCCAUGGCGCAGCUGUAGAGCUACGGAAGGGGCCUGAACCCUGACUCUUAGUACCUGGGUGGUCUCUGGCAAGACACUGCACCUCUCUGAGCUCUAACUGAAUCUUCAUCUUCAGCACACGAGCAUCCAGACUAGCCUCCACUCUUUCUGUGCCAUGUGGCAGUGGCUACAGACAGCAUGCAGCUCCCAUAUUAGGCAGUGAAGCUCUAGUGAAUCAGCCAUCAUGAAAUAAAUGA